UGAGCAAUCUGCCGUUCUUGCGGGGGAUAGCCGGCCCAACGGCCGGGUAAUACCGCAUACGCUCUUCUGGAGACAUCUCCUAGAGAGGAAACCCUUCGGGGGCAAGACGAGGAGCUCGCGGCCUAUCAGCUAGUUGGUGCGGUCAUGGCGCACCAAGGCGACGACGGGUAGCUGGUCUGAGAGGAUGGCCAGCCACAUUGGGACUGAGAGACGGCCCAGAUCCGUACGGGG
rnacentral:rRNA from 1 species